AUGAAGAUCAUUGCAGCGUUGUGGAGGCUGCAGGAAGCUUUGCUUAGAUGUAUUCAUCCGCAGCACGUUGUGUGCCAAGGCAGGAACCGGCCAAGGCAGCCAAGGGCCGCCAUCCCGCACGCGCUCGCAAAGCCGACGCUCAGCUUCGUUUCACGCUAUUGUCUAGGCCUAGGCCAAUCGCGUGAGGCCACAGAACACCCGCGAAACCGAACGUCGGUCCCCCGAACGCGUGCAAGACAGCGGCCCUUGGCCACACCAGCCAAUUCCUGCCCCAGCAAACAACACGCUGCGGACGGAUAUCGUGUCCUAGGCCAAUCCAGGUCAAUCGCGUGUGGCGAAACCGAACGUCGGCCUUUCGAACGCGUACAAGAUAGCGGCCAAGGUCUACUCGCCACCCUGUCGAUCCUCGCUGGAUCCGUGAAACUGCAGGCGCGUUAACGAUCGGAACAUAUGGAACGACGCUACGAGUUUGCAUUAGAUUACAAACAUGGCAUUAUACAUUUCAUUUAUUUUUAGUAAAGUGAAGGACCUGGACCGCUAUCUUGUACGCAAUCGAAAAGCCCAUGUUCGGUUUCGUCUCACGCGAUUGGCCUAGGCCGCGGUAUCUGCGCGGCCUGGACAAUCACAUGAGACGAAACCGAACGUGGGCUUCUUGAAUGCCUACAAGAUAGCGGCCCUGCCAGCACUGGACCCCGAAACCCUAGACAAAAUGCUGGUAUGCCUGAUAGCAAACACUUUUGUACGAACCACGCAGUAUUGCUUUCAUUUUCCAGCUGGCGAAACAUGACAUCAAGACGACCAAGGCGGCCACGCAAGAGCCGCCAUGUAUAUCGACACUCCGUCCGGCUCGCUUGGAAGUCUCCUGCAUUGUCAGGAAGCUACUACUGGUUGCUCCCAGCAUGGCCGAGCCCGAUGAUGCUGUCACCCUGCAGACUAUUUUGGCACAUAUCCAAACUGCAGUACGGAGAGAUGGUGUGCCUAUUGUAACACUGGAAGAGAUGCUUGCCCAACUAGACCUACAACAUUCAGAGGACGGUUUGCAGCAACCAGAGAUUCCAUAGAAUUCUUUAUGAGGAGUUCGGUUUCGAAGACCUUGCUGAAACCCACAGAGGCGCUGUAUGAAGUGCUCAGUGUUGGUGACAAGAUGUGGUUUGACGCGUUGUUAAACUGUAAUCCAACCAGGCAAGAGAAGUGGCAGGCAGUUAUAGUGACCACAAUCUAGCGCAGUGGUUGUCAGAGCACAGUGUUUGGACCUUGUGUGGGCAAUGAGGAGCACAUAUCGCACCAGGUUGGCACCAUUCACUUGCUUGAGCACAACAGUGGGCUCAUCAGUUUCGGUCCUGAAGGUGCGGAACGCGCCUUUUUUAUGAGGAGUUCCGUUUCGAAGACCUUGCUGAAACCCACAGAGACGUUGUAUCAAGUUUUCGGUGUUGGUGACAAGGUGUGCUUUGACGCGCAGUUAAACCGUAAUCCAACUAGGCAAGAGAAAUGGCAGGCAGUCAUGGUGACCACAAUCCAGCACAGCGGGUUUCAGAGCACAGUGUUUGGACCUUGUGUGGGCAAUGAAGAGCACAUAUCGACUACAUCUUUCUUUUAUGUACAGGAGGUUCCCAUACAGCUUUAGGCUUUGGUCCUCCUUUUGCACAUGCCAUUAUGAGUGCACACCACUGACUAACCUGAAUAAACUAAAACUGAAUAUGUGCUACAAAUUAC